UACGUAGGGGGGCAAGCGUUGUCCGGAUUUAUUGGGCGUAAAGAGCGUGUAGGCGGCCAGGUAGGUCGGUUGUGAAAACUGGAGGCUCAACCUCCAGACGUCGACCGAAACCAUCUGGCUAGAGUCCGGAAGAGGAGAGUGGAAUUCCUGGUGUAGCGGUGAAAUGCGCAGAUAUCAGGAAGAACACCCGUGGCGAAGGCGGCUCUCUGGGACGGUACUGACGCUGAGACGCGAAGCGUGGGGAGCGAACAGG
rnacentral:rRNA from 1 species